rnacentral:rRNA from 1 species
AACGAACGCUGGCGGCAGGCUUAACGCAUGCAAGUCGAACGCCCCGCAAGGGGAGUGGCAGACGGGUGAGUAACGCGUGGGAACGUACCUUUCAGUUCGGAAUAACUCAGGGAAACUUGUGCUAAUACCGGAUACGUCCGUAAGGAGAAAGAUUUAUCGCUGAAAGAUCGGCCCGGGUUGGAUUAGCUAGUUGGUGGGGUAGUGGCCUACCAAGGCGACGAUCCAUAGCUGGUCUGAGAGGAUGAUCAGCCACACUGGGACUGAGACACGGCCCAGACUCCUACGGGAGGCAGCAGUGGGGAAUAUUGGACAAUGGGCGAAAGCCUGAUCCAGCCAUGCCGCGUGAGUGAUGAAGGCCCUAGGGUUGUAAAGCUCUUUCACCGAUGAAGAUAAUGACGGUAGUCGGAGAAGAAGCCCCGGCUAACUUCGUGCCAGCCGCCGCCGUAA